rnacentral:lncRNA from 1 species
CACAUUCACCACCGCCACCACAUUCCCCGCCGCCUCCGGUUUAUCCCUAUCUGUCACCGCCCCCACCUCCUCCUGUUCACUCUCCACCUCCACCGGUCCAUUCACCACCACCACCGUCUCCUCCACCUUGUAUAGAACCGCCACCACCACCUCCCCCCUGUAUAGAACCGCCUCCGCCUCCACCAUCACCACCACCUUGUGAAGAGCAUUCGCCACCACCACCAUCACCACAUCCUGCACCUUACCUGCCACCGCCAUCGCCAUCACCACCACCUCCUCCAGUUCAAUACAGUUCUCCUCCACCACCAUCGUCGCCACCUGUUUAUUAUUACAACUCACCGCCGCCGCCACCUCCUUCGUCUCCACCACCAGCCCCUGUAUAUGAAGGGCCUUUGCCACCCGUCAUAGGAGUCUCAUAUGCAUCUCCUCCUCCACCUCCCUUUUAUUGAUUCUUUUGAGAACUUUUCUCCUCUAACCCUUUGCCCUCUACCCUAGCAAUGAAAAAAAAACAUUCAAGUUCAGUUCAUACUUUUGUUAUUAUUGGUGGCUAUUUCUGCUGUGCCCUCCUCUUCCUUUGCCAGCCAUGUCAAGUAAGUACGCGACUCUCGUCGCGAAAAAUAAAACCUGAGAGAACCAGAAGGGUUUGUGUAAGGCUGCAUGUGAUGUUUGUUCUAGUAUAGGAAAACAGAGAGGAGAUCACAGUGGAUUGCGGUAGGAGGAGAAAGUCUCUCCAUAUUGAUUUGAAUUGUUAUGGAUAUUCGAGUUGUGAAAUAAAAAUGGCAGAGAAAGAGUAGGUUGCAGAGAAAAUGUGUAUGUAUAGGGAUGAAUUUGGAGACCAUAAUUCAGGGUUGCAUUGCAUAGAGAGUAGCAGCACUUUCUGCUACUGCUGCUGCUUCUGCAGGUUUGUGGAGUUUAUUGUUAUUGUCUCUCUUAUAUCAUACUUUUUUUUUUAUUUAAUUUUUUGUUUCUUUUGUUUUGCAAUUGAUAGUAUAAUUUAAGAACAUUUACAUGUAUUGAUUUUCUGAAUUGAGGUAAUUCCUUUCUCGUACCGGUGUCUCG